AACUACUUUGAUCUCUCUUAAUUUGUGAUCAAUUUCAGAUAGAGGCACAGCUCUGAUUUCACAUUGAAUUUUUUAUUUCCGAGCAAAAUCAUUUUGAAAUUCUAAACUGUAGUAAAAAAAAACCUGUCUACAAUGGAGCAUACAAGCAACAGUUUAAUAGAUACAAUUAUUUACGGUAGGAUCAAAAGUUCUAAUAAAUGUUCAGAUUUAAAUACUAUUUAAUUAAAAGAUGAAUAGGACAUUAUUUUAUUAUUUUAAUAUUUUUGCUGGUGUAUAGUUGUAUAUUUUGGGUCAAUAAUAAAAAAAAGAGAUAUGUCA